UUGACCAAGGAGAUCCGAGUGUCGGCUGAGUUGACCGCAGUAGUCUCGGGACGUGGCUGAGAACUUCAAACACUGUGUUGAUGUGGAGUUUGACAAUAUUCCCGAGGAUCCUGGCUUCCAUCACACGUGCUACCGUAGAUUUACGGACAAAAAAUCCAUGGCAAAGGUGGAAAGACGUCUCGCACGUGAGACAAGAAACGAUGGAAGACCACGAGGCCAUUCCAUCAACUUCUAGCGGCACGAGUCCAACAAAGAAACUGCGAUCCAGGUCAGGGCUGCCAAUCGCAGGCUCUGGCCCCGUUCUUCCUGCCCUGUGCAUAAUUUGCCAAAAAAAGGAGAAGUUCGUCAACCGAGCAGGCAAACGACAAAGGGAUACUCUGUCAAAGGCUGAAACAUUAACAGCAGGCCAAUUGCAGAAAGCUGCCGAGUUGAAGGAGGACCAAAGUAUUCUUUUGCAUAUAAAAGACAAAGACUGUGUGGCUCUGGAGGUGCAGUACCACAAAGGCUGUUAUAAUCAGUACACCAGGUUUUUGAUGAGGCCUGAAAAACAACAAGGAGAAGUGUGUACAGGAUAUGUUGAGGAAGAGGCUGGCUCAUGAUUUCCCCCAGCUGGUGUUUCACAUCCCCACCAAGCGCAACAUCUGCGAGCUGGUUUUUGCAGAGACCCUGUCAACCGGUACACUCGUGGACAUGCUACCUUACCCAUCAGGUGCAGAAACCACACAGUCUAGUGAGUUGAGCCAGACAGACAGCGAGACUGAAAAAGGGACAACAGAGUGCCAAACAACACAAGAGGAUGCAAGGACACUAUAUACAGCAGCGUUGUUCUUAAAAAGACAUCUUAGUGACACUCCUGGCAUGUCAUGCCCAUGGCCUCCAACCUCUGAAAAUUUGAAUGUCACUGAAGCACAAACUGUUGUUCCCCUUGCGCCAAUCUAGUAAACUGGAUUAUAGGCGCCUCUGAGGAGCCAACACUGGAUCAUUUUGUCGACAUUGCUGAUGACUUGCACUUGAAAGUGUUGUCUGUUUGUCAAGACAUUGUGUACCUUGCUUCCAAGGGCCGUAAGCAGACACCUAAGUCCUUGACUUUAGGUUUGACUGUUCGACAUUUAACAGGAUCAUCACGCAUUGUGUCACUGCUUAACAAACUGGGACAUUGUGCAUCAUGGGACACAGUUUUGAGUUUAGACACUAGCCUUGCCCAACUGACAAUAGAAGAAGGCGGAGAUCGGAAUUCACACAUUCUCUGGGUGUGACUCCACACGUGCCUUUUAUGGCAAAGGGAAAAAAAAGACAUUUUCUGUUGCAUGUGAGAAAGGUGAGUACCUAAAGGCUUUUAAAAGUUUAGGUACUCACUUUAACUUGGAGCAGUCAACAUUUGCACUUCUUUGCCAGUAUGUGUGCCACUUAUAUGAUCAGCCAGCUGCCGAUAAUGUAAAUGAAGCUAGGUACAAGGCUUUCUGUAUGGCAUCAUCAGCCUUGCCAGAAAUAUCCAUUCCCCCAACUACUGAUGCCCUCCAACAGCACUGCAAACGGGCAAACUACCAGGCUGCAAUAAUGAGGUCCUGUCGCAAACAAAAAAUAAGUGCUCCAUCACCUGCUGGAUAUGGUUGGCAAAUAGAGGAUGGGACCUUGCACAUCACCUGGAUGACCAGAAAUCCGGCCCCUGACAGUGUUUUGCAUGUCAUACACUGCGGCUGCAAAGGUGCCUGUGAGACAGGAAGAUGUUCCUGUUUUUCUGCAGGAUUGUGUUGCACAGACUUCUGUCGUUGCUGUAAUUGUGCCAACACCAAAGACACCGAGCAACUGGAAGACAACUGUCCUGACACUGACAGUGAGGACUGAGCGUCCUUAAUAUGUUAUUUCUUUUGUAGUUUUGUACAGUUUUAUAUAUCAGUCAUAUUUUUCAUAAAGAUUGUUUCUAUUGUU